rnacentral:pre_miRNA from 1 species
AGUAAAAUGGCUGGGCCAUGUGAUGACUCUAUGUUGAACUUUUUGAGGAAUUGUCAAACUGUUUUCCAAAGCAUGUGCAUCAUUUUAAAAUAUCUAUCAGUAGU